CGGUAUACAAUGAGCAACCCGCUUGCAAUCAAGAUACAUCUCCAAUAAUUCUGUAUAUCCCUACCCAGGCUGAAGCCACUGAUAUACCUUAUGUGAGAGAUCCAAAUUGUUGAUACACACGCCAUUCUCUAAAACACCCGUCUUCCUUGUCGUUUAUUUGAGCAAGCACAAUAUUUGGCGGAAUUAGCCGGCCGUUGGGGGUCGCCAAAUCUUCCAUCCGUUGCUAAGAUUUCUCCGAGAACCCACCACUGCCAAUAUAUGUUUUAGCAUCGGCAAUCUGGGCGGCUGCUCCAAUCGCCUCUGUGAAUUCCAAUUUUCAAUUGGUUCCUCAUAAAUGGCUAACCAGGAGGAUGGUCGUAACUCGUAAGGGUGAUGGUAUGCCAAAUGACUUGACAACCGUUCUGAUUUUGUUAGAGGAAGUUAUACGGAACUAUCAAAUAAACAUGCUGCUUAUCUCGUUUAUGAUCACAUUGAUUUGCCCACAAACACGCAAGCGUAAACGGUGAGAGCUUAUUUUCAAGUUACGUCUCCAAUGCCCAGCCCAUCAACUCGAGUUAGUCGGAAGCUAUUUGAUGGCGACAUUGCAUGCUUUCUCGACCUAUCCACCCGGAAGUCUGCCUCCCGGGCUAACGUUGGGGGUACGGUGAUUUUAUCGUCGCUUAAAGGCUCCUCUUGUGCUUCAUGGAGUCCGGUUCCAACGCUCAUAAAACAGCCUCGUAGAGUGGACCUUUAUUGGCACAUCUAGAGACUUUGUAUGUUCUGUUCCCUAAACGCCAUCCUCACUGUGAAGCUGAUGGUGUAGCUUUAUGUUUUGUUAUUAGGAUGGUUGUAUUUUGGUACUGUGGUAUGUGGUUGCGGCAAACCUUUUUUUUU